CCUACGGGUGGCAGCAGUGGGGAAUAUUGCACAAUGGGGGAAACCCUGAUGCAGCGACGCCGCGUGAGCGAUGAAGUCUUUCGGUAUGUAAAGCUCUAUCAGCAGGGAAGAAAAUGACGGUACCUGACUAAGACGCCCCGGCUAACUACGUGCCAGCCGCCGCGGUACUACGUAGGGGGCAAGCGUUAUCCGGAUUUACUGGGUGUAAAGGGAGCGUAGACGGUCCUGCAAGCCAGCUGUGAAAGCCCGGGGCUCAACCCCGGGACUGCAGUUGGAACUGUAAGGCUGGAGUGUCGGAGAGGCAGGAGGAAUUCCUAGUGUAGCGGUGAAAUGCGUAGAUAUUAGGAGGAACACCAGUGGCGAAGGCGGCCUGCUGGACGAUGACUGACGUUGAGGCUCGAAAGCGUGGGGAGCAAACAGGAUUAGAUACCCCUGUAGUC
rnacentral:rRNA from 1 species